AUUGAACGCUGGCGGCAUGCCUUACACAUGCAAGUCGAACGGUAACAGGUCUUCGGAUGCUGACGAGUGGCGAACGGGUGAGUAAUACAUCGGAACGUGCCCGAGAGUGGGGGAUAACGAGGCGAAAGCUUUGCUAAUACCGCAUACGAUCUCAGGAUGAAAGCAGGGGACCGCAAGGCCUUGCGCUCACGGAGCGGCCGAUGGCAGAUUAGGUAGUUGGUGGGAUAAAAGCUUACCAAGCCGACGAUCUGUAGCUGGUCUGAGAGGACGACCAGCCACACUGGGACUGAGACACGGCCCAGACUCCUACGGGAGGCAGCAGUGGGGAAUUUUGGACAAUGGGCGCAAGCCUGAUCCAGCCAUGCCGCGUGCAGGAUGAAGGCCUUCGGGUUGUAAACUGCUUUUGUACGGAACGCAAAGACUCUGGUUAAUACCCGGGGUCCAUGACGGUACCGUAAGAAUAAGCACCGGCUAACUACGUGCCAGCAGCCGCCGUAACAC
rnacentral:rRNA from 1 species